CGAACAAAACAUAAAUGUAUUGUAUAACAUGUUAUAAGACUGUCAUCUGAUGAAGUUGUUUCUUGGUUAGUGACUAAUUAUAUCUCUAUUUGGUCGGUUUUGUGAUAGCUACCGAUGCGGUAGAAACAUGGUGAAAAUAUGCGGUUGAGUCUUUGGUUAUUGUGGUUAGCUAAUAGAAAUACAUAUUGUGUUUUCGCUGUAAAACAUUUAAAAAAUCGGAAAUGAUGGCUGGAUUCACAAGAUGUUUAUCUUUCAUUUACUGUAUUGGACUUGUGAUUUCAUGAAAAUUAUAUUAUAUGAUAUCCCUGUCCCGUUAGGCUAGGCUAUGCUAGUCAGCUUUUUUGAUGAGGAGGAUUCCGGAUCUGGGAGAGAGAAGUGGUAGAGGGGUAUUAACUUUGUUUGGUAUACAGUAUUUGUAAGGCCUUAACCAUGCAUUUUUCCAGACAAUGUUCAUAUUGCUGUUCCUCUAUCAUUCCUUUCCCUCUUCCACGUGUCAUCAUUCUGCUCCGGAGUGGCUCGCUUUGUGGGCGUGCUGGCAGGAUAGGGCAGCGUCUUCAGUUGCGCAUCAAGAAUUCUGCAUACAGUAGCACGUUUGUAUGAAGAAAAGGAAGUCAAAGCGGACACCUACGAAGAUGGCAUCUCAGAGAGCGAGCAGAUUUACAGCCAUUUUCACUGGACUAUCUGUUGCUAAGUCAUGGGUUAGCCUUGCAAUAACCAAGUGGUGAGAAACACAGCCCUCUAUAUUUAAAUGUUUCAGGUACACUUUGAAAGGGGAUACUGUAUGUGACGCAGACACCUAUUGGCAUUAUCUUCUAUUGUUUGUCCUCAUGGGUCUGUUUUUCAGCUUAAAGUACUCUGUAGCCACUCACGUCAUCCCUCUCCCCCUAAAUCUUCUCGGUUAUAUCAGCUGUUUUGUUGAACCUCUCCCGCAUCUGAACUGGCUGACAGAGGGCACAGCCUGAUCAUAGGUAUGUUUUGAUGUGAGAGGAAUCCAGUCCCGACAGCGCAAUUGUGAUGAACUGAGAGAAUAUUAGGGUAGCACUGUCAUUCAUGAAUCAUAUGCUAUCUGCCGCUGUUCUUACCUCUCUCCCCACCUCAUCUUCUAAUGCACACCAUAUGUGCAUUGAAGUACAGAUUUGCCUACUUUUUUUUUUUUUUUAACUAGGCAAGUCAGAUAAGAAUGACGGCCUAAGAACUGCCUUGUUCAGGGGCAGAAGGACAGACCUUGUCGGCUCGGGGAUUCGAUCUUGCAACCUUCCGGUUACUAGUCCACCUACCCGCCCAAGAUUGAACUUGUAUUUAUAAUAUUACAAUUAAAAUGCACUUCUUUCAAUAAAGCGUUUCACAUUCUCCACUGGUUGAAAUACUAUCCUGUGUCCGUCCUCAGAUUAAUGGAGUUAAAUGUGCAUAGGUUUUUCUCUCUCUGUAU